CAAUAGCGUAUAUUAAAGUUGUUGCGGUUAAAAAGCUCGUAGUUGGAUUUCUGCUGAGAACGACCGGUCCGCCCUUUGGGUGUGUAUCUGGCUCUUUCUUGGCAUCUUCUUGGUGAACGUUGCUGCACUUGACUGUGUGGAGCGCUACCCAGGACUUUUACUUUGAGGAAAUUAAAGUGUUUCAAGCAGGCAUACGCCUUGAAUACAUUAGCAUGGAAUAAUAAGAUAGGACCUCGGUUCUAUUUUGUUGGUUUCUAGAGCUGAGGUAAUGAUUAAUAGGGAUAGUUGGGGGCAUUCGUAUUUAACUGUCAGAGGUGAAAUUCUUGGAUUCGUUAAAGACGGACUACUGCGAAAGCAUUUGCCAAGGAUGUUUUCAUUGA
rnacentral:rRNA from 1 species